UGGGAGGGGGCUUGCUCCCGAAGAGGUCAGGUCUGUCACAUCAUUGUUGAAUGACACGCCGCCUUCGGGAGCAAGCCCCCUCCCA
rnacentral:misc_RNA from 1 species